GAUGAACGCUGGCGGCGUGCCUAAUACAUGCAAGUCGAGCGAACAGACGAGGAGCUUGCUCCUCUGACGUUAGCGGCGGACGGGUGAGUAACACGUGGAUAACCUACCUAUAAGACUGGGAUAACUUCGGGAAACCGGAGCUAAUACCGGAUAAUAUAUUGAACCGCAUGGUUCAAUAGUGAAAGACGGUUUUGCUGUCACUUAUAGAUGGAUCCGCGCCGCAUUAGCUAGUUGGUAAGGUAACGGCUUACCAAGGCGACGAUGCGUAGCCGACCUGAGAGGGUGGUCGGCCACACUGGAGCUGAGACACGGUCCAGACUCCUACGGGAGGCAGCAGUAGGGAAUCUUCCGCAAUGGGCGAAAGCCUGACGGAGCAACGCCGCGUGAGCGAUGAAGGUCUUCGGAUCGUAAAACUCUGUUAUUAGGGAAGAACAAAUGUGUAAGUAACUAUGCACGUCUUGACGGUACCUAAUCAGAAAGCCACGGCUAACUACGUG
rnacentral:rRNA from 1 species